UACGGAGGGUGCAAGCGUUGCUCGGAAUCAUUGGGCGUAACGCGUACGCAGGCUGUUCGUUAAGUCGGGUGUGAAAGCCCGGGGCUCAACCCCGGAACUGCGCCCGAAACUGGCGAGCUUGAGUGCGGGAGAGGGAAGCGGAAUUCCUGGUGUAGAGGUGAAAUUCGUAGAUAUCGGGAGGAACACCGGUGGCGAAGGCGGCGACCUGGGACAAUACUGACGCUGAGGUGCGAAAGCGUGGGGAGCAAACAGG
rnacentral:rRNA from 1 species